rnacentral:tRNA from 1 species
GGGCGCGUAGCUCAAUUGGCAGAGCAACUGACUCUUAAUCAGUAGGUUGAAGGUUCGAUUCCUUCCGCGCUCA